AAAAAAAUACUACAUGGCCCAGGAAGGUGUUUCUGUCUUUGGUUUUGAAAAUGAAUGCAUCCGAUGUCACCAUGGCUUUGGAAAGAGUGUACACACAGAUGUGAUGACAAGCAUCAUGCCAGAAAACUCAGUAGUUAAAAAUGAUAACUGAUCUUGUCAUGUCCUGUCAUUAUGCAAAUCCAAGAAAUAUAUUGCCAAAGUGAUUUAUAGUAGUGCAGUUGAAAGAGAAUUAAAAACGUAAUCUUUGGCAGAUCAUUUUAAAAUUGACUCUCUGUGGCUGCCUAUGUCUUAAAAUGGUGAUGCACAUUGAACAGUAAUUGUGUUGAUCUUCUGUUUAAUUAUAAAUGAUAUUGUAUUUAAAUCAAAUGUACUCAAUUGACAAACAAAAUUAAACUAGUGGUGUUUAAAAGGAAUUGAUUUUAAAUCUUAUUUGGUAUUCUAGAGGAAGCCCCCUAUUUUUGAGGUCUGGUUAAUGCAGCUAUUGUUGGAGCACAAGGUAAUAAAUCAGCAGUUCUUCUGUGCAGGAGACAACUGGUAUGUGGCACACCUUGUUUUCUGGGAAGACGUGUUGCUGUAAGUAGGAGUGCUGAUCAAAUCAGUGCUACGUGGAGUCAUCACAACACAGUUUCCAUGGAGAUCUGUCUCCGGCAUUAUGCUCUGGACACAGGCCUAGGGAUAUAAAGUAUCUUGCCAAAUAUCACACAAGUUUGGAGCAGAGCUGAAAUCGUAGCUGAGUUACUUCCUCCACUGAAGACUUGAACCCUUCAAAGUCAUCCGCAAGGGUUGGAAUCAACUUAUUCCAAACUUCUGUUAAUGGUUAAUGCUGGUAUGUUGAUCUCCUGAAUCAUGAAUGCUCUGAAUGGCAUCUAGAAUGUUGAAUCUUUUCCAGAAGUUUUCGACUUAUUUUUGCCCAGUCCCAUGAGAAGAAUAACUAACUAUGGCAGCUACAACCUUACAAAAUGUAUUUCUUGAAUAAUAAGACUUGAAAGUCAAAAUUACUCCUUGGGCUACAGAAUGGAUGCUGUGUUAGCAGGUAUGAAAACAUUAAUCUUCUUGUACGUCUCCAUCAGAGCUCAUGGGUGACCACGUGCAUUGUCAAUGAGCAGUAAUAUUUUGAAAGGAAUCUUUUUUUCUGAGCACUAGAUCUCAAUAGUAACCU